ensembl:lncRNA
AUUUCUGCAAAGAGGGACGACGGGGUCUCUUCCAGUCGUGGUAUUGUGACACGGGGCGUCAUCAAACCUGCACAGAGAAUAAACAGGAACACACAUACAGAACUGUAGCUCUGCCGACGUCUCAGUGGGAUCAAACCAUGGGUGCUGCUGAUGAUCUCAAAAAGAGCAUCUUCUCCUGGGUUGAAGCCGUGAGCACAUCUGUAAACAAUUUGGACAAACUCGCUUCUGAACUGGAGGAACGUGAGAUAAAGGACGAUGUAGGGGUACGAGGUUUGGGUGGGGUUGUGGGUGGGGUUGUGGGUGUCAGGCUUACUGACAUAAAAGGAGCCAAGAAGAAGGUGCAGCAGCUUGAAGACCUGGAGAAUCGUGAAAAGAAAAUCCAGACGCUCAUAGAGUCACUGGCAGAGGAAGGAAAGGAGAGAGAACAACCAGAUUAUGUUGUGGAUCAAAUCCUCCGAGUGAUGGCCAAAGAGCACAACCUGGAGCUAAAUGAUCAAAUAAAUGUUCACGAGCUGCUGUGUAAGUUUUCAGGAAAGGAGUUCUUCAUGUUGAAGACAUUUGUCGACCAGCAGCAGAAACUUAAACCAGUGCAUGAACUCAUUAGUGUCUCAGGACGAAACGAGGCCUCUGAAGAGGAACCUGUGGGUUCUGAAGUUGGAGGACGAGCAGCUGGACUUUUAUUUACAGUUUCCGGCCUGACUGACAAGCUGAGAAACGUGGAUAACGACGACAGUCACACCGAAACUGCUGACAGUCUGAGAGAAGGAGCUAAGGCCAUGAUGACGACCGGUAGGAAGCUGCAUGAAGAAGUGGAGGAAAUCAAAGGGGCGUUUGAGAAGUUGGCUGUUGUGAAGCGCUGCAUUAAAAAGAACAAGAGGUUCGACAUCGACAUGGAGAAAUUGCUCAGUCUUGUGAAGCACGUCUGUGAUGAUGAAACUCUUCAGUGGCUGAGUAACAACUCCAAGUCCGAGUCGAAGACCUUCCUCAAACUCGUGGACUUGUUUCAUUUGCUAAAAGAAACGAUUUAUGAAGAAACAAAGAAGAACCACAGUAACCACAUUGACAUCACAUUUGUGGCUCACGGAUCGAUCCAACAACCCGUGAUCCCGGCCGGCCGCCUGCUGCCUCUGCCCACCAUCGCCGACGUGGUUCUGCACUGCCCCUGGAACUGUCUCCUGUCUUCUGAUGCCGCGUACGGCGUCGCCACAGGUCUCAUGAAGCCCGAGGACACAAGGUUUUGUUGUAUCAAUGAAAAAUGCUGCCUACCAACAAAAAACCAUUGUCCCAAAGAGCUGCAGCAAUGGAAUUCAAUGAGGAAGGCCAAAGAAAAAGAGGAAAGUGUUCCAAACAUUAUGGUCAGCCCUGUUAAAAGGCAAACGGAUGGAGCGUGGAAACAGUUCCAGAUCCUGAAAACCGAGCACGGUGGACCUGAGACAAACCGUUUCGUCAUCCUUUACACUGUGCAAGGAAAAGUGAAACCUUCAGACAGAGUCCCGUUCUGUGCCGUCACCUUGGCCCUGUCGCUGGUUCUGUUCUUCUCCAGGUUUACAGCCAACGUCCAUCUCGCUGCCUGUCUGGGAGACAGAUCUCAGGAGGAGUUGGACAAGACGGAUCUGGAUCGGCAGUACGCCUGGGCUAACGACAACACGGGAAUGACAUGUAGAGAAAACCUCUUUCCUGAAAAGGACACCAGGCUGUACAGAGUCAUGGAGGCUGUGUUCGGUUGCCCCUUCACUAAGUGACGUUCUCAUGCUUCAGGACGUGUAGUUUUACUGUGUUGAUGUCUCGUGUCCUCACCACAGUUUCUGUUCACAGUAUCCGUGUAUUUUAUGUUUGGAUCUAUACUGAUUUUAAAAUCAUCAUAUUGUAUUAAAUUUGUAUUUGAUAACACAACAAAAACUAAGGACAACAAAGCAUCAUUCAUCUGGUUUCUAAGGGACAUGAAGACUGAUACUGACACUUUAAUAACCCCCUUGCAGCAGCAUGUAAUAGUUCAGGGUUCAGGGUCAUGUCCAGUACAGCUGAGAGUGGAACCACUGGACAUACUACAUACUUCAAUGAACGUUAAACUCCGUGAACGUUAAACCUGGACUCGUGAUAUCCCAGAAACGUCUUUCUGUCAUUUUUCAAAGGAGAUUUCAGGGUCCACCUUGUGUAUGUCUGCUUCUCUUCAGUGCUAUAUCUCAGAAAGAAGCAGUAUUAGAAGAUUUACACCCUCGCUUUGUGAAUUAGACAGAGGAUAGUUUAUCAAACCUGGCAAAAGAGAACAGACACAGGAACUUAUUCUAAUUCCAAUAUGAUGACGGUAAGUGUUUAUACACAGGAGAAUUUCGGUGUGGGAGUCAUAGGAUGAACUGAUGCUUUUUACAGAGCAAGUCAAACAUUUCACUAAACACUGUCAAAAAGUGAAACUACUGCUAGAGAGAAAACUACAGAACUACAGGUAACACAGCUGACUCUCUACAUUAACCAUAAAUAAAUGUGCAUGAAUUCAAAAUGAGAUAAAAAAAAAUACAGACACAGUAAACGGAACAGAAACUAAUGUCCACCUAAAAUGUAUAAAAUAAGUCAACGGAGCCUUUUCAGGGGUGUGGUUAUAUACUGUCAGUUUAGGGGCAGACUCACUUUUCUUGACCUGAAAAUCAAUUUGGAAUAUUAAAAACACUGAGCCAGUAAUUCUCUACAUACUAAGUGUUGAUAGCGUAGCUUAAUGCUAGUUCCCACCUGAACAACAUGGGAAGAUGCAGGUGAAAAUCAUGCUGGAGACGACAGAAGAGAGCGAGAUCUCCUCCAGCUCUUCUGGAGGAACACUGAGGGCUUCCCAGGCUAGCUGAGACAUAGUCCCUCCAACAUGUCCUGGGUCCUCCCCAGGGCCUCCCCAUGCAAAACAGAUGCCCAAGCAACUUCAACUGGCUCCUCUCAAUGUGGAGGAGCAUCAACUCUACUCUGAGCUCCUCACCCCAUCUCUAAGUGUGCGCCCAGCCACCCUGUGGAGGAAACUCAUCGAGAGUUUCGCCUUUUAGCUCAGCUCCUUCUUCACCACGACAGAUGAGCACAUCGAUCUCAUUACUGUAGGCUGACUGAUCUUUAAUUCAUGUGUUCAGUUAGAGGUCAUAGGUCGUAGGUUUCACACCAUCCAUCCCCCUCACUGCUCCCCAGAGACAUCUCUCUUUUCCCAAUUUCGCUCGUAUUACUGGUUGGUUUCUGGCUUACGUGCCUGUUACUGCAGGCCCUCGCUUUGUCUUUUGGCCUGAAGGAGCCGAGCUUCAUUCAGUUUAAAAAACUGUAGAAGCACCAGAUUCUGCAGCUUUUCUCUCGUGUGCAGAUGUUCCACGUCUCCUCUUCUGUCCACUAUUUUUAUUGUGAGUUUGAGUUUUGAAUAGAAACUCAGUGUCUUCGUUUGAUGGACUAGAGAUUUUGUAGAACAGAUACAAGUUUUAUUCAGCAUCACAGUUAAACCCACUGUCUGGUGUUUCCUGACGGGGAGUGACGACGUCUAAGUCAUCAGCUAUAGAGUGAAUAAUAAUUUACAUCCAGUGAAAAGAAAAGCGGAGCAAAUGGAAAUAUGGUUUAAAGAGUUAAUCACUGACUACAUCAAAUGUCUACAAAAUAGUAUUAUUAUUUAAUCCUUGUUAAAAGCAGGUGGAGGAGUGCUUCACAGAAACAGACAUCACCUAAACAAGGAGCAGUUCCAAACGCACACAAAACAGAGAGUGAACAUUUUCAUUUAAAUGGAAAGAGGUGAAACAUGCUGUCACAUGUAUUUCUGGUUUGUGUUGCUACCCUAACCCUUGUCACUUUGGUUCUGUAUCUGACCAGUUUUCUUGUCGUGUUCGUUUGAUGUCCCCAUUUGGUUGUUUUCUGUGUUUGUUGAGAUCGGGUAGUAAUAAAUCCUUUUUCUUGCAAUACUCGUGUCCCCUGAAAUAUGAAACAAGAUGUAAAAGAACAGAACGAUAAAGAACCUGCUGUGUAUAUGAUGCAUUUCUACAUAAAACUGUUCUGUGGAGUUACUAUAAUUGGUCCUAACCUACUGUCAUUAUUACUUCAAAUCAAGGUAUUUUCUACAUCACACUAUGUUGAAUCUUUUAUUUGAAUUUGCACUGAGGAAUUUGGAUGAAUCCUUUUUGAAUAAAGCAACAAACCAAAGUGGUUUACAAAGAAAAUUAUUGAUUAUUUAUUGGCCGUGAACAUGCUGCACAUAGUUUGCAGCAAAUACAUUUGUCCUUGAUUUAAUUAACAUGUUGAAUGCAGAAUACUGAUAAAUACUGAAACGUUUAUUAAAUAUUUUAUUAAACGAUUUAACGAAGCACUGACCUCUUCCCUUUCUCUCAGUGUGUUUCUAUGAGACAGUCUGUUGCCACAGUAACUGUAUCAUGAUGGACCAGCUGAAGGACUCGUUUUCUCUAUUCACCACCAAUACUGACCUGAUCCAACCUGUUUCUGUUCCGUUUAUUUUAUUAAAAAUUGAGACACUGUGGGAUGAGCACAAAGAGUUUGUAAAGGUCGCCCUGUUUCCCGGUUCCUCCUGGCUACAUGUCAAGGUGAUUUUGGAACAUGUGCCAAAAACCCUGAAGCAGCGCUGACAUCUACUG